rnacentral:misc_RNA from 1 species
GUUCGUGCUACCUAGCAAGUACAAGAAGGCGGAGGAGGCUCCUAAACCGGUGGAUGGAAGUGUUGUGAUAAGGAAAGAAGGGGAGAGAAAACUCGCCGUCGUGAGAUUCAGCGGAAUUGCGACGGAGGGAGUGGUGGCGCAGAAGGUGGAGAAUCUGAAGAAAAGCUUGGAGAAAGAUGGGCAUAAGGUGAUUGGGGAUUUUGUGUUGGCGAGAUAUAACCCACCUUGGACAUUGCCUUCUUUGAGAACUAACGAAGUUAUGAUACCAGUAGAAUGAUUUGAUUUGUAGUGUUUUUG